rnacentral:tRNA from 1 species
UCCUGGGUGGCUCAGUCGGUUGAGCAUCUGACUUCAGCUCAGGUCAUGGAUCUCACGGCUCAGGGGUUCGAGCCCCUCCUUGGGC